UGAUAAAUUUGAUCCACGCUGAAAUCGGGUUUCGUGAGCAGCGGGCUGUAUUUUUUACAAAAAUAAUUUUUAAAAAUUUUUGACCAAGUUCGUUGUCGACGAAACCUGCAUAUAGCCUGGAACAUACAACAG
rnacentral:pre_miRNA from 12 species